UACGGAGGGUGCAAGCGUUGUCCGGAAUUAUUGGGCGUAAAGCGCGCGCAGGCGGUUAUGUAAGUCUGAUGUUAAAGCCCGGGGCUCAACCUCGGUUCGCAUUGGAAACUGUGUAACUUGAGUGCAGAAGAGGAAAGUGGUAUUCCACGUGUAGCGGUGAAAUGCGUAGAUAUGUGGAGGAACACCAGUGGCGAAGGCGACUUUCUGGUCUGUAACUGACGCUGAGGCGCGAAAGCGUGGGGAGCAAACAGG
rnacentral:rRNA from 1 species